CUACGGGUCGCUCCAGUGAGGAAUAUUGCACAAUGGAGGAAACUCUGAUGCAGCAACGCCGCGUGGAGGAUGACGCAUUUCGGUGUGUAAACUCCUUUUAUAUGUCAAGAAAAUGACGGUAGCAUAUGAAUAAGCACCGGCUAACUCCGUGCCAGCAGCCGCGGUAAUACGGAGGGUGCAAGCGUUACUCGGAAUCACUGGGCGUAAAGGACGCGUAGGCGGGUUGGAAAGUCAGGUGUGAAAUCCUACAGCUUAACUGUAGAACUGCACUUGAAACUUCUAAUCUAGAGUAUGGGAGGGGGAGAUGGAAUUAGUGGUGUAGGGGUAAAAUCCGUAGAUAUCACUAGGAAUACCUAAAGCGAAGGCGAUCUCCUGGAACAUUACUGACGCUAAGGCGUGAAAGCGUGGGGAGCAAACAGGAUUAGAUACCCCAGUAGUC
rnacentral:rRNA from 1 species